UAAUAUCGCGACGCGAGCGCUGAGUGAGCAGCAGGAGUGAGCAGCAGGAGUGAGCAGCAGGAGUGUGAGGAUGGUGGAUCAGGAAAGACAGGGGAAGGCAACAGUGGAGAAGAACACAGGCAAGGUGUAAAAGAGACAGACAUGAUGUCGGCGAUGGCAUCAAGUAUAGAGGAGACCAGUGAUGACAUCAGGUUGAGAAGCACCUCUCAGCUUCCGCUGUGGUCAUGGGUGUGGUGAUGCGGAUCUUUAGGAGAGUGACAGUCUCUGAAAAGACUUCGUCACGAUUGUUCUCCAUUAACAGCUGGAGUAGGUCCACAGCACCACAACAGGCUCUGAACUCUUCUUAGCUGUAGAUGAGACUAAGUCUUCAGCUUACUUCCAUUGAGCACUGGAUAGGCCUUCAAGGUAUUGCUCAGUGCAUCUUCAGGAAAUGCCAUCUUGUACUGUUCAAACCUGCCCUCUUGCAGCAGGGUGGCUCUAACAAUGUGGUAUGUGAACUGAAAAAGCAUGUGCGAGCAAGGGGGCUAGUUACUCCAGUUCUGUCUGGAGGAAUGGGUCAAAAUUUCAGCAAGUUAUUGUGAGAAGCUUGUGGACGGCUUUGCACAUAGAAUUGAAUAGAAGUAGUACAAGGGGCCCAUCAAUAGAUGGUUUGGCCCUCACAGAGCUCCGAUCUCAACAUCAUAGUAAGGCUGGGAUUACAUUAAGUGUCAGAAGAAACUGAGGCAACCUAAAACCAUUGAUGAACUGUGUCAAAUUAUUCAUGAUGCUUGGAACGGCCGACCAUCAAUGUUGAAAAACAUUGUGGAAGUGUGGGAGAAUUGGUGCAGUUUUGAAGGCAAAGGUGGGCACACCAAAUAUUGAUCAACCUUUUUCAUGUUUACAGCACUUUGCAUGAAGUUAGUUGAUAAAUAAAAGCCAUUUAUGUCAUUAUUUUUGAAUAAUCCUCACUUAACAGCAUUUUUCAGGUGUUCCUAAAAAUGUUACACUACUGUAUGUUAAACAUUUCAUAAACAGUUUAAAGCACUUUAUAAAAUGUCUGCAUUAUUACCAAAGCU